UGUACUUCUUCCUCCCCCCCUCCACCUUCUCACUCUAACUUCUCAUCUCUUUCUCCAGUCCUGAUGUAGGGUCUCGGACUGGAACCUCGACUGUUCACUCCCUUCUAUGGACGUUGAGUUCCUCCGGCGUUUUGAGGGUGCUGCCUUGCGAUAUGCUUUAAACCUGGCUGUGGGCGUACGGUCUGCGACACAGAUGUUUUCAAACCACAUUGAGACGGAGGAGGAUCAGUAGCAGUUAGACAGCAGCCUCGGAUCAACACCACAGCCCAGAAGGGAGUAAGGACGAACACCUUGGACUGCUGCAAGAGGACAGACAUCCAACACAUUCAGAAGAUCAGUGGUGCUGGACUGAUGAGUCUGCAGAUAAAACCAAGAUUGGGGCACGGUGACAAAAGUUAUCGAAGCUUGCAGCAUGAUCUUUACAAGAUCAAAUCAUUAUACCAGAUCCUGAACCAUCAGGGACCUGGAAGAAGAUGGCGUCAGCGAACAACGCGGCCAAGGGCGACAUCCUUCACACGAUUUGCCAAGCUACUUCUUUUG